CAUGAGCAGUAUUAGUUUUCUUCUAACAUCCAGAAGUCUGCAUGUGUUUUUCUAGCAAGCCUUUGACAGUGAAAUGUAACAUGACCGAAACACCAACAUCAAAAAAACAAACAAAACACUCACACAAAUCAUAUUUUAAUGUUAUUUAUUUUUAUUUUAGUAAACUCUGAAAAUUCUAUCAGACAGAUGGUGGAGAGUACAGUUUAACAACUAUUAACAAAUAGAUGAUUUAAUAUUUCUGGACAGGUUGGAGUCUUUCAGGAUCCACAAACAGCAUGGUUGUUCAAACUCUGCUCCUCUUGGUGGAAAUGCACUCCGUCUUUCCCCCUUGCAAAAAAGAUUUUUAAUGUUAGUUUUAACUAACAUUAAAAAUAUAAACACCAGCUAACAGAUAAUAGAUAAUAGAAACAUGAAUGGUUCAGUCUAACAUGUGCUCAAGUGAGACAAUGAACCCCUGUAAUGAUUGAUCAUUUUACAUGUUUUAUAGCUCCAGCAGACUGAAGAGUUCAAAGUUUGCUUGGUUUUAUGCUGGUGCAUAUCUGAGUAUCAGAUGGUGCCACAGGUCAGACUCCAGCAGUUCUUUCAGGAAUCAGCAGACAGAGGAAACAAACACCACAGACGCUGCUUUUCCAGUGCUUUGAAAAACAUUUGUUUCAGUGAGAAAACAUCCACCACAAGUAUCUGUAUGAAGCCCGUGGAGGAAGUUAGUGAAUGUUCUCCUGAGGUAGUUUGGAUAUCCAAGUAGCCACCAACUAGAUACAGAGGUCUACUCUCUGGUAUUUUAAAGGGUCACAAAGGCUACAGUACAAAAACAUUGUUGUCUUGGUUUCUGUGACAGAGAAAAUUGUAACAGGAAGCUUUUUUUGCUUUUUCAUUUUCGCAGUAAUCAGUAAUGCUCUUCAGGGGAUCAGUCUGAUCGUCAUACACACACCCUCAACCUCCUCUGCUGCCGUGCUGCUUCUAACUCUUCUUCUUCUAUGCAGAGGUGAGUGUACAGAUGUGUGAUAUAGUUACAGGUUGGAACAUCUGUUUAUGUUUGGGCAAUGGGCUGGUACACACCUAAUGUAUAAAGUUUUUUUCCUUGUGGGAGCACAAAAGUGUACCAGUGUCAUUUAUUUAUAUAUUGCUGUUCCUCUAAUUCAUCUUUGUGCUCAUUUUGUUUCUCUUCUGUGAUUUUUUAAAUUUAAGCUUCUGCUGAAUGUGUUUUAACAGAUUAAUCAGUUAAAGUGUCCACUUGGCCUCCAAAUUCCCCUGAUAUCAUCGAGCUAAGCAGCUGUGGGUCCUUGAAACUUUUAGGAAUCAGAGCCUUUAAAAUAGUAGACAAAGUAUUUAUUAAUUGUUAAAGUCACUCUGAUAACUAUUUAUUAACUUCUUUUUUG
rnacentral:lncRNA from 1 species